rnacentral:lncRNA from 12 species
CUGAUUUAAAAACCUCACCUGGAUGGAAAUAAAUGCAGAUACAGAAUUCUUAAUUCAUCAGGGAUGAUGUGCAGCAGUGGGUUCGUGAGAGAGGCAGCAGCAAGGAGGAGAGAGAAAUCCCACAGGAAUUUUAUAUCUGAGUGAACCAUGAGUACCCCAACAUUACAUCAAGGAGAGAGAAAUCCCACAUGAAUUUUAUAUCUGGGUGAACCACGAGUACCCCAACAUUACAUCAAGGAGGAGAGAGAAAUCCCACAGGAAUUUUAUGUCAAGGAGGAGAGAGAAAUCCCACAGGAACUUUAUAUCUGAACCAUGAGUGCCCCAGUGUUAC